AUUAACGAUUACUUAUUUAGUUCAAGAAGGAUGGCUAUUCGCUUUAACAACAUUAGCUACUGUAGGAACAUACCAAACCUAAGGCAGAAACAUUGUUCUGAAGCCAAGAUUACAAAUCAAAAUCAACAGAAAUGCAGUAAAGAAAACUAAAUUACUACCAUGAAAAUAGCCUCGAGGCAUGAAAAGCAUCUAAAUUAGAAAGAUUCUUCAUAAGCUAAAAGAUAGUGAUGAAGAGAAAUACCUUGGCUAUGUAAUAAAAUUCACCACCAAGCGAUUUUCCAAAAUACCAAACAAGACAAGCGUCCUAGAAACAUAUGAAUGAUGCUGGCUAACUCAUAUCAUCAUGUCCUUUACAAAUGCUCGACAGAUAUUAGUUCUUUUGAAAUUUGAAUUGACUGCACAAGGGGAACUUUAAUCCUCAACGUGAACAGAUUUAAGGCUACAAGAAUUCUGUAUCCAUUUCAAAGCUCAAAUUCUUCGUCCUUAAGAGCCAUCUCCGCAGCCUCCUCUUCCUCUUCGUCAAGAACAAAGUACUCAUUCUUCUCCACCGGCCUAAACAUAUAAAACAUCACUGCAUAAAACAGAAGACUCGCAGUCUCCUCCGCAGCAUUACUAACCCACUGGUACUUGUAAGCUGCAAUGGUCUUAAGUGCAAACACCACAAUCCUCGUAAAAUACAAGUACCCAAUUACAACAAUGUAAAAUUGCCUGAACAGUUGCAAUUUUGCCAGAUUUCUAGCAGCCUUCCCGUCAGUCUUCGAGGUCUCCCUCAGAGAUCGAAUAGACCAGACAAUUGGGAAAAUAAUCGCGCAACAACAGAUGAUAUCCACCAACAAGAACACCUGAUUCCAGGUAACCCAAUCCUUAAUAAAGGGCCCUGUCUCACCAAUCACCACAGAAGCCACGUUGGCCAAGACCUGAAGGGGAAUCACAAUUAUCAAUACCUUCUUCUCCUUCUCUUGUAGGAAUGGCUUCAAAAACGACCAACCAGUACCAAUCAACACAAUCACCGUGAAAAGCAAAACCACACGAAUAAACUGGAAAAUGUAGAACAAAACAUCCCAACCAUGAGGAGUACCGGUGACCUUCACGUAAUGCUUAUCCUCCGCAGCACAGAUCAAGUUAAGCGCUUUCAUUAGCAGCAAUCCCCCCAUCAACAAAUGGAUCCGAUGUACAGAUCCUCUAUUGGUGAAGCAAACAUAUAUCCAGAAACCCAGAAAAGCGAUAUACGCAAUGGAGUAGAAGAAGUAAAGCGAAGGUAGCUGAGUUAAGCCAGCAGAGAGGUAAUCCUUAGAGCCAUCGCGCUCGAGAUUGUAAACCUCCGUUCGGACGUUCAUGGAAACGCUUGUCUCCGGAGCGCAAUUGGCGAAGAAAAGAGAGUAUUCAUUGGGGGCAGUGACCGGAUAAGAUUGGUUGAAGGAUGAGAGAGGCGGAGGAGAGAGAUCGCGGAAGGUGAAGAGGUGGAGCGUGUAGUGAGACUCGAGGACGCAGAAGUUGGGAUUUUGCUGCAUCUCGAGGAGGACUUGGAGGAGAGACUCCUCGGAAAGGAGGAAAAAGCCGAGAUGAGAAGGGAUGGGAUAAGGGGCAUUGAUAGAGGAGGUGACGGAGACGGAGGAGACAUAGAUGGUGACGUGGCCAGUGUGCGUGAAGCCGAAUUUCUCAAAGAGGAUCAUGGGCCGUUCGUCGUUGGUGAUCGUUAAGGUUUUGAUCUCGGAGGUAGUGAGUAUGGAGAGGGAGAGGACGAGGAUAGAGAGAAGGAGGUAUAGUGCUGGUUUCGUCAUUUUCCGGGAGUUUUUGGUGGUGGUGACGGAGAGAUCUGAGGAGAAAUGAAGAAAGAAAGGUGAGGUGGAGUACCAGAGCUUAGUUAGCCGAAAGGGCCAUUCGGUCGUUGGUCAGGAUCAGACCCGGAGGUAGAGAGUGCAAGUU
rnacentral:misc_RNA from 1 species